AACAAAACACAAACAUAUACUAGUACAUUGCAUACAUACAUUAGCAUAAAAAGUCAAGUGUGAUAAUAAUGUUCAAUACAACUUGAUAAAAUGUGAUGAAAAAAUAAACAUGAUGACAUGAUCAGUUUUUUAUAUUAUUUAUACAGUUAGGUUGAUUUCAAUAAAUGAUCUGCUAUUUUGUAUUUGAAAGAAUUAAUAUUUGUAAUAUUUCUUAACGGUAUUGGCAAAUUAUUCCACAAGUAUGGUCCAGAAUACAUAAAAGAUUUUUUGAAUAAUUCUGUUUUUGGUUUAGGGAGUAUGAGGUUUCCUUGAACAGCAUUUCUCAAGGGGUACGGAUUUCUGUCUGAAACAUAAUGAAACUUGUUAGUAAGAUAUGAUGGGGCAUCAUUAUUAAUACACUUAAAUGUCAUCACUAACUUAUGAUAUUUUAUUCUCUGUUCAACUGUCAUCCAGUUUAAGUGUUUGAAUAAGGGUGCAGAAGGAGCGAAUGGGUCUGUUUCUAGUAUUAAUCUAGCAGCCCUCUUU
rnacentral:lncRNA from 1 species